rnacentral:rRNA from 1 species
GCCAGUCUGCAUGGAGCCGACCUUGAAAUACCACCCUUUAAUGUUUGAUGUUCUAACGUGGACCCGUAAUCCGGGUUGCGGACAGUGUCUGGUGGGUAGUUUGACUGGGGCGGUCUCCUCCUAAAGAGUAACGGAGGAGCACGAAGGUUGGCUAAUCCUGGUCGGACAUCAGGAGGUUAGUGCAAUGGCAUAAGCCAGCUUGACUGCGAGCGUGACGGCGCGAGCAGGUGCGAAAGCAGGUCAUAGUGAUCCGGUGGUUCUGAAUGGAAGGGCCAUCGCUCAACGGAUAAAAGGUACUCCGGGGAUAACAGGCUGAUACCGCCCAAGAGUUCAUAUCGACGGCGGUGUUUGGCACCUCGAUGUCGGCUCAUCACAUCCUGGGGCUGAAGUAGGUCCCAAGGGUAUGGCUGUUCGCCAUUUAAAGUGGUACGCGAGCUGGGUUUAGAACGUCGUGAGACAGUUCGGUCCCUAUCUGCCGUGGGCGCUGGAGAACUGAGGGGGGCUGCUCCUAGUACGAGAGGACCGGAGUGGACGCAUCACUGGUGUUCGGGUUGUCAUGCCAAUGGCACUGCCCGGUAGCUAAAUGCGGAAGAGA